rnacentral:lncRNA from 1 species
GAACCUUCACUGCCUAUGUAUGUGUGGUGGCCAGCAGUAGCCAACUGCCACUCUGCAACUGCCACUCUGCAACAGCUUCCCACAUUGAUGUCCUCUACCAUCAUCAUGAGAUAUGCUUUUAAAUCAGGGUCUAGCUUUUCGGGUGUGUUGGGGUGCCCUGGACUGGGCGAGGUGGGAGUGCUGGGUUCUGAUGAUGGUGAGUGGUCUUGGUUUCUGUUAGUAAGAUUCUUACGUUUGCCUUUCACCAUCUGGUAAUCUCUGGAGUUAGUUGUUAUAGUUGUCUCUGGUUACAGAUUGUUCCUCUCGUGAUUCUGUUAGCCUCUAUCAGCAGACCUGGGAGACUAGAUCUCUCCUCUUAGUUUCAGUGGUGAGAGCACUCUUCAGGCAAGCUCUCCUCUUACAGGGAAGGUGCACAGAUAUCUGGCUUUCGGACCUACCUCCUGGCCAAAGAUGAAGGCCCAAAACAGGACCUGUCCCAGAAGCUGUGUUGCUUCGGCCUGUCACAGAAGCUGUUAGCUUCUGUAGUCCACUCUCUCACCUGCUCAGACUAGUCUCGGAGGGAUCCAGGAACCAAGAUGUCUCCCCCAGGUGCUCCUGCAGAGCCCUCCUGGGCAGAGUGGACACCUCUCCUCUGGCAGGGAAGGUGCCCAGAUGUCUGGAGCCCGAAAAGGGAGCUGCCUCAGAAGCUAUGUGGCUCCAGCCUGUCCCAGAAGCUGUUAGCUUCUGUAGUCCAUCUGUGCAGACUAGUCUCGGUGGAGUCCCGGAACCAAGAUGUCUCCCACCGAUCUAAUCUUUACUUUAGAUUGAAAAGUUGUUCCUUAGAGGGUCUUGAGACAGAGUUUUUUUAUGUAGCAUGGGGUGGCAUUGAACUCACAGUCAUUCUCCUGCCUCAGUUCCCAAAAGCCAUGAGUUCCCAAAUCAUUUUUUAUAUUUUUGAGUAUGAGUACCUUAUCAGUUAUGUCUUUUACAGAUAUUGUCCCCCUUUGAUGGGAAAAGAUAAGCUUUGAAGAAAUCAAUUUACCUUGAUUCUUUCAUGCUUUUUUUGUGGUUUUUGUACCAUUCAAUAAAUCCUUGUCU